rnacentral:lncRNA from 1 species
UUCAAUGAAGCACAAAGUUUAAUACCACUUUACAUUUAGUAUUCUUUCUCUCAUCUUUAGUUGUGAAUUUACACGAUUAAGUUCUAUAUGAUCUCUCCCUCUGAAAUUUUCUUUCUCUCCCUUAAUUAAUCAUUCCAUUUGAGAGUUUAGAGUUUGAAGAUAAUUUUCGAUAAAGAGAUUGAGUAUUUAAAGCUCUCCCUCAAAAGAUGCA